GACGAACGCUGGCGGCGUGCUUAACACAUGCAAGUCGAACGGAAAGGCCUGCUUUCCCCUGUGGAUUGCGGGUACUCGAGUGGCGAACGGGUGAGUAACACGUGAGUGAUCUGCCCCCAACUUGGGUAUAAGCCUGGGAAACUGGGUCUAAUUCCCGAUAGGACUGCAGGGUGGUGCCUGUGGUGGAAAACGAUUUUCUAGUGGUUGGGGAUGAGCUCGCGGCCUAUCAGCUUGUUGGUGGGGUAAUGGCCUACCAAGGCGGCGACGGGUAGCCGGCCUGAGAGGGUGGACGGCCACAUUGGGACUGAGAUACGGCCCAGACUCCUACGGGAGGCAGCAGUGGGGAAUAUUGCACAAUGGGCGGAAGCCUGAUGCAGCGACGCCGCGUGGGGGAUGACGGCCUUCGGGUGGUAAACUCCUUUCGACCGCGAGGAAGCCACCUGGUUGGAAGGGUGGUGACGGUAGUGGUAGAAGAAGCACCGGCUAACUACGUG
rnacentral:rRNA from 1 species